rnacentral:lncRNA from 1 species
UUGGAUGGCACAAAGGCCUCUCAAAUCUCUAACUUUUCCUAAAAUUUUAUGAAGAAACUCAUCUUAUAUAGAGAGAUAUGAUAGAGUCCUUGUCUAGGUCAAACACCUAGUCAAGGCUUAUCCAAACAUGGCAAGUUAAGGGACGCCCAACUCUUGAGCACCUCCUUCAUAUUUUCGUGCAUGGAUCACCAGAAAAUGGUGCACAAUGUAUACCCUA